rnacentral:miRNA from 1 species
CGUAUGAGGAGCCAUGCAUAU